rnacentral:rRNA from 1 species
UACGGGGGGGGCAAGCGUUGUUCGGAAUUACUGGGCGUAAAGGGCUCGUAGGCGGCCAACUAAGUCAGACUGAAAUCCCUCGGCUUAACCGGGGAACUGCGUCUGAUACUGGAUGGCUAGAGAUUGGGAGAGGGAUGCGGAAUUCCAGGUGUAGCGGUGAAAUGCGUAGAUAUCUGGAGGAACACCGGUGGCGAAGGCGGCAUCCUGGACCAACACUGACGCUGAGGAGCGAAAGCCAGGGGAGCAAACGGG